rnacentral:rRNA from 1 species
CGGCGAGUGAAGCGGCAACAGCUCAAAUUUGAAAUCUGGCCCUCGGGUCCGAGUUGUACUUUGCAGAGGAUGCUUCUGGCGAGGCGCUGCCCAAGUCCCCUGGAACGGGGCGCCGGAGAGGGUGAGAGCCCCGUACGGUCGGCGGCCGAGCCUGUGCGAAGCUCCUUCGACGAGUCGAGUAGUUUGGGAAUGCUGCUCUAAGCGGGAGGUAGACCCCUUCUAAAGCUAAAUACCGGCCAGAGACCGAUAGCGCACAAGUAGAGUGAUCGAAAGAUGAAAAGCACUUUGAAAAGAGGGUUAAACAGCACGUGAAAUUGUUGAAAGGGAAGCGCUUGCGACCAGACGUGCGCCGGGGUGCUCCGCGGGCGUUCUCGCCCGCGCACUCGCCCCGGCGCAGGCCAGCGUCGGUUCGGAUGGGGGGACAAAGGCGCCUGGAACGUGGCUCCCCCGGGAGUGUUAUAGCCAGGCGCGCCAUGCCCCCGCCCGGACCGAGGUUCGCGUUCUGCAAGGACGCUGGCGUAAUGGUCCCCAGCGGCCCGUCUUGAAACACGGACCAAGGAGUCGAGGUUUUGCGCGAGUGUCUGGGUGACAAACCCGCACGCGCAAUGAAAGUGAACGCUGGUGGGAGCUUCGGCGCACCACCGACCGAUCCUGAAGUUUACGGAUGGAUUUGAGUACGAGCGCAGGGCCUCGGACCCGAAAGAUGGUGAACUAUGCUUGGAUAGGGUGAAGCCAGAGGAAACUCUGGUGGAGGCUCGCAGCGGUUCUGACGUGCAAAUCGAUCGUCAAAUCUGAGCAUGGGGGCGAAAGACUAAUCGAACCGUCUAGUAGCUGGUUACUGCCGAAGUUUCCUCAGGAUAGCAG